AGUACCAGUGAUGAUAAAAUAAUUUGUCAUAAUUGUCAUGAUGAAUUUUAACAUGCACUACCAGCUGAGGUACU